rnacentral:tRNA from 1 species
AUUUCUUUAGUAUUAACUUAGUACAACUAACUUCCAAUUAGUAG